AAGUCGUAACAAGGUUUCCGUAGGUGAACCUGCGGAAGGAUCAUUAACAAAUUCAAAACUCGUGUUGUGUUGCCUUUGUUGGCUGAUUUAACUACAUGGCGUAACUGCUAGGGUGAUCGGUCAGCAAAGGUGGCACGCUUCAACACAAACACUUACCUUAAUAUUGACAACGAAGGGAAACCACGAUUAAUCGUAAACAACUUUUAACAAUGGAUCUCUUGGCUCUUGC
rnacentral:misc_RNA from 1 species